rnacentral:rRNA from 1 species
UACGUUAAGAGUAUAUAAGUACUGUAAAGGUAAAAUGUCUAAUUUUUUUUCGUUCAACACCACUCAUGUUUUGGAGGUCUUCUUAGCCAGUUCUAAAGAGAGUUCCUGACAAAUCGAACGUCACCAACGUAUUGUAGUCGUCUCUGUCAAUACGAACUCUUCGUUUCGAACCUACUGAAACAAUGAGCGUAGUUGAGACCGUUUUGGCAGUAGCAUAGAUACAGAGGGGUCAGUUCUCGUAGUAAUCGACGUAAGAAACCAGAAAGAGUCAGUGUCCAAAAGUUUUUUGAUUGACGAGACAAGUUCAGCUACCCGCACUUCCGUCACAUACUGUGUUCAUCAUCAGCUCUAGACCGGGAUUAACUUCGUACGUUACUUAAAUAAAGUGCGAUAUUCGACUCAGUUAACAGAUCGCUGUUUCUUCAACCUUGUUCAGAAGGACACGAAAGUAGACGUACAGGUCCAACCUAUACGAUACGACUUUUCUGAGAACCAAGUAUAUAGAACGGGAUGUAGAGUAGACAUUUCUCAGGGGUUGUUCACUAACCACGUCGAUAGUUCGUAGUGUACCAACUUUUUGAACCAGAGUUCGGCAUACUACACAUAGUACAAUGACACUACGGGACAAUACUAUUUUUUGAACUUCGACAGGCCCCGCUGAAACAAAAGAGUCACCUUCUUUUCCUUCAAUGUCUCCACCUGAGCCAUAACUGUUGACCACUUCACAACCUGAACUAUGUCAGGUUUAGACAACUAAAGUUCUGUUACCUCCUUAGAGGAAACCUGUCUAAUAAUUGUUUACAACUACUACCACCAGUAGAUAUACCCCAAAGACCACCGAGCCCACCAAUACGCCUUUGGUAGAAAGAAAUACGUCGUGCACGUGAGAAAUUAUCCCUUUAUCUUCCGGGUGAACUAAAGUUUUAGAACGCUUUAAGUCUAAAGACACUUCAAUGUGACCUC